rnacentral:rRNA from 1 species
GACGAACGCUGGCGGCGUGCUUAACACAUGCAAGUCGAACGGUAAGGCCCUUCGGGGUACACGAGUGGCGAACGGGUGAGUAACACGUGGGUGAUCUGCCCUGCACUUCGGGAUAAGCCUGGGAAACUGGGUCUAAUACCGGAUAGGACCACUGCCUGCAUGGGGGGUGGUGGAAAGCUUUUGCGGUGUGGGAUGGGCCCGCGGCCUAUCAGCUUGUUGGUGGGGUGAUGGCCUACCAAGGCGACGACGGGUAGCCGGCCUGAGAGGGUGACCGGCCACACUGGGACUGAGAUACGGCCCAGACUCCUACGGGAGGCAGCAGUGGGGAAUAUUGCACAAUGGGCGCAAGCCUGAUGCAGCGACGCCGCGUGAGGGAUGACGGCCUUCGGGUUGUAAACCUCUUUCAGCACCGACGAAGUGCAAGUGACGGUAGGUGCAGAAGAAGGACCGGCCAACUACGUGCCAGCCGCCGCAGUAA